rnacentral:rRNA from 1 species
AUUGAACGCUGGCGGCAGGCCUAACACAUGCAAGUCGAGCGGUAGCACAGAGAGCUUGCUCUCGGGUGACGAGCGGCGGACGGGUGAGUAAUGUCUGGGAAACUGCCUGAUGGAGGGGGAUAACUACUGGAAACGGUAGCUAAUACCGCAUAAUGUCGCAAGACCAAAGUGGGGGACCUUCGGGCCUCAUGCCAUCAGAUGUGCCCAGAUGGGAUUAGCUAGUAGGUGGGGUAACGGCUCACCUAGGCGACGAUCCCUAGCUGGUCUGAGAGGAUGACCAGCCACACUGGAACUGAGACACGGUCCAGACUCCUACGGGAGGCAGCAGUGGGGAAUAUUGCACAAUGGGCGCAAGCCUGAUGCAGCCAUGCCGCGUGUGUGAAGAAGGCCUUCGGGUUGUAAAGCACUUUCAGCGGGGAGGAAGGCGUUAAGGUUAAUAACCUUGGCGAUUGACGUUACCCGCAGAAGAAGCACCGGCUAACUCCGUGCCGGCAGCCGCGGUAAUACGGAGGGUGCAAGCGUUAAUCGGAAUUACUGGGCGUAAAGCGCACGCAGGCGGUCUGUCAAGUCGGAUGUGAAAUCCCCGGGCUCAACCUGGGAACUGCAUUCGAAACUGGCAGGCUAGAGUCUUGUAGAGGGGGGUAGAAUUCCAGGUGUAGCGGUGAAAUGCGUAGAGAUCUGGAGGAAUACCGGUGGCGAAGGCGGCCCCCUGGACAAAGACUGACGCUCAGGUGCGAAAGCGUGGGGAGCAAACAGGAUUAGAUACCCUGGUAGUCCACGCCGUAAACGAUGUCGAUUUGGAGGUUGUGCCCUUGAGGCGUGGCUUCCGGAGCUAACGCGUUAAAUCGACCGCCUGGGGAGUACGGCCGCAAGGUUAAAACUCAAAUGAAUUGACGGGGGCCCGCACAAGCGGUGGAGCAUGUGGUUUAAUUCGAUGCAACGCGAAGAACCUUACCUGGUCUUGACAUCCACAGAACUUUCCAGAGAUGGAUUGGUGCCUUCGGGAACUGUGAGACAGGUGCUGCAUGGCUGUCGUCAGCUCGUGUUGUGAAAUGUUGGGUUAAGUCCCGCAACGAGCGCAACCCUUAUCCUUUGUUGCCAGCGGUUAGGCCGGGAACUCAAAGGAGACUGCCAGUGAUAAACUGGAGGAAGGUGGGGAUGACGUCAAGUCAUCAUGGCCCUUACGACCAGGGCUACACACGUGCUACAAUGGCAUAUACAAAGAGAAGCGACCUCGCGAGAGCAAGCGGACCUCAUAAAGUAUGUCGUAGUCCGGAUUGGAGUCUGCAACUCGACUCCAUGAAGUCGGAAUCGCUAGUAAUCGUAGAUCAGAAUGCUACGGUGAAUACGUUCCCGGGCCU